rnacentral:rRNA from 1 species
UACCCAGUCGAGCGGCGGACGGGUGAGUAACGCGUGGAUAAUCUACCUUUUGGUGGGGGAUAACCCGGGGAAACUCGAGCUAAUACCGCAUGAGAUCGAAAGAUGAAAGGGGCGCAAGUCCCGCCGGAAGAGGAGUCCGCGUCCGAUUAGCUAGUUGGUAAGGUAAUGGCUUACCAAGGCGACGAUCGGUAGCCGGCCUGAGAGGGUGAUCGGCCACACUGGAACUGAGACACGGUCCAG